GGGGGAGAGUGACUGUGAGC
rnacentral:miRNA from 1 species